UGGGGAAUAUUGGGCAAUGGGCGCAAGCCUGACCCAGCCACGCCGCGUGAGUGAUGAAGGCCUUCGGGUCGUAAAGCUCUGUGGGGAGGGACGAAACCUGGCGACCUAACACGUCGUUAGCUGACGGUACCUCCUUAGCAAGCACCGGCUAACUCCGUGCCAGCAGCCGCGGUAAUACGGAGGGUGCAAACGUUGCUCGGAAUCAUUGGGCGUAAAGCGCACGUAGGCGGUCCGUUAAGUCGGGAGUGAAAGCCCCAGGCUCAACUUGGGAAGUGCUUUCGAAACUGGCGGACUUGAAUACUGGAGAGGAUCGCGGAAUUCCCGGUGUAGAGGUGAAAUUCGUAGAUAUCGGGAGGAACACCAGUGGCGAAGGCGGCGAUCUGGACAGAUAUUGACGCUGAGGUGCGAAAGCGUGGGGAGCAAACAGGAUUAGAUACCCCCGUAGUCC
rnacentral:rRNA from 1 species